UUAAAUUGAAGAGUUUGAUCAUGGCUCAGAUUGAACGCUGGCGGCAGGCCUAACACAUGCAAGUCGAACGGUAACAGGAAGAAGCUUGCUUCUUUGCUGACGAGUGGCGGACGGGUGAGUAAUGUCUGGGAAACUGCCUGAUGGAGGGGGAUAACUACUGGAAACGGUAGCUAAUACCGCAUAACGUCGCAAGACCAAAGAGGGGGACCUUCGGGCCUCUUGCCAUCGGAUGUGCCCAGAUGGGAUUAGCUAGUAGGUGGGGUAACGGCUCACCUAGGCGACGAUCCCUAGCUGGUCUGAGAGGAUGACCAGCCACACUGGAACUGAGACACGGUCCAGACUCCUACGGGAGGCAGCAGUGGGGAAUAUUGCACAAUGGGCGCAAGCCUGAUGCAGCCAUGCCGCGUGUAUGAAGAAGGCCUUCGGGUUGUAAAGUACUUUCAGCGGGGAGGAAGGGAGUAAAGUUAAUACCUUUGCUCAUUGACGUUACCCGCAGAAGAAGCACCGGCUAACUCCGUGCCAGCAGCCGCGGUAAUACGGAGGGUGCAAGCGUUAAUCGGAAUUACUGGGCGUAAAGCGCACGCAGGCGGUUUGUUAAGUCAGAUGUGAAAUCCCCGGGCUCAACCUGGGAACUGCAUCUGAUACUGGCAAGCUUGAGUCUCGUAGAGGGGGGUAGAAUUCCAGGUGUAGCGGUGAAAUGCGUAGAGAUCUGGAGGAAUACCGGUGGCGAAGGCGGCCCCCUGGACGAAGACUGACGCUCAGGUGCGA
rnacentral:rRNA from 1 species